rnacentral:rRNA from 1 species
GAGCCAGACUCCUACGGGAGGCAGCAGUGGGGAAUAUUGCACAAUGGGGGAAACCCUGAUGCAGCGACGCCGCGUGAGUGAAGAAGUAUUUCGGUCUGUAAAUCUCUAUCAGCAGGAAAGAAAAUGACGGUACCUGACUAAGAAGCCCCGGCUAACUACGUGCCAGCAGCCGCGGUAAUACGUAGGGGGCAAGCGUUAUCCGGAUUUACUGGGUGUAAAGGGGGCGCAGACGGCGAUGCAAGCCAGGAGUGAAAGCCCGGGGCCCAACCCCGGGACUGCUCUUGGAACUGCGUGGCUGAAGUGCAGGAGGGGCAGGCGGAAUUCCUGGUGUAGCGGUGAAAUGCGUAGAUAUCAGGAGGAACACCGGUGGCGAAGGCGGCCUGCUGGACUGCAACUGACGUUGAGGCCCGAAAGCGUGGGGAGCAAACAGGAUUAGAUACCCCUGUA